UACAGAGGUCUCAAGCGUUGUUCGGAUUCAUUGGGCGUAAAGGGUGCGUAGGUGGCGCGCUAAGUCAGGUGUGAAAUCUCGGGGCUUAACUCCGAAACUGCAUUUGAUACUGCGGUGCUUGAGGACUGGAGAGGAGACUGGAAUUUACGGUGUAGCAGUGAAAUGCGUAGAGAUCGUAAGGAAGACCAGUGGCGAAGGCGGGUCUCUGGACAGUUCCUGACACUGAGGCACGAAGGCCAGGGGAGCAAACGGG
rnacentral:rRNA from 1 species